GUUCGUCAUUUAGGCUGUAUUUGUCCACAUUUGACUCAAACAUUCCAGCAUUAGUAAAUGCAUCCACUGACGUGUCAUAAACUGGAAUACAUUUCACAAUUUUCAUUAAUUGUUCAUGUAUUUUCAAAUUAAGUUUUGCAGCUCUGUCUUGAAAUUUAUAUUUCUGCAAAUCACUCUGUGAGGAUACAUUUUCAGUAUCUAUUGGUUCUGGGAUUAGAUUCUGUGCCUGUAUUUUUCUUGUAUUAACACACACUUGCUUAACUUCAUUUCUAAGCUGGCAAAUAAGAUCAUUUCUUAGUUCAACUCUAUCCUGUAAUUCACAGACUGUUUCUGACUGUUUACAGCAUGUGCUCUCUGUUACAUUGUUACACUGUUCAUUUAAAUCUGAUUUGUCUUCUGUUAACCCAUUCAAAUCUACUUCUUUUUCUGAUGAUUCUAAAUUGUCUUGACCUGCAUCUCGUUUACAAAUCAAUGCAUUGUAAGUACAGACUAGUUUCAUAACAUUUCUGAUCUUUUGUUUUUUUCUUAUUAACAAACAAUUUCUUGUCAAUUUCACUAUUGGCAAUUUCACAUUGUGUGUAUAAAGAUUGCCACAAUACAGCAUCUGAAUAGCUGCUAUUAUAUGCAAACUGCAAUUUACUUUUCUCUGCAAUAUCAUUUAUAAAUUCCACAAUUCAUUUGUUCCAACAAAAUCUAACUUUCCUUAUUCCAACAUGCCAAUAACCUCUUACUUAACAACAUAUAAAAGAUUACACAAAGUUCCUAACUAGGUUAUUCGUCCUGCAAAUAUACCUUUUUUCCCUCACAUUCCUCACUGAGUUUACAAGCAUUUCACCCAUUCACCCCCCCUGUAGCCAAUACUCAUAGCAGUCAGAGCAAGAGAAAGCAACAAAGAAGGAGGGGGGAGGAGGGAGGAAGACUUGCAAGCACAAAGUUUUUUAACCAUGUGAUUGCCUAAGCACAGCUCUCCUUAGGACAAAAGAUAGAAUAGGAGAGUAACGAUACAGAUUGUAUAGAUUACAAUUAACAUAUAUGGUACCUAACAAGACAUACACAGACAAAAGCACAAAAUACAGAUGUAAUUAAAUCACAAAGUCCUUAAAAUAAAUGCCGGCUUAUAAUAAAUCAAAUCACACACACAGAAACACUCAAGCACAUAAACCGCUCCUUUACCGAAGCUUAGCUAAAAUACAUUUAUUUUAUUUUUUUUUUUAUUUUUUUUAUUUAUUUUUUUUUUUUAACUCUUGACCGAGUCUUAAUAAAACAAAGGAACCGCCAGGUUUUUUACCAAACGAGGCCAAAACAUCACUCACUAGCUUCUUUACCAAAGCUUAGCUAAAAUACAUUUAUUAAACUCUUUACCGAGUCUUAAUAAAACAAAGGAACCGCCAGGUUUUUUACCAAACCCGAACUUGGCUAAAUAUGCCAGCGCUUAACCACACUUGGCAGCAUUAUAUAACAGUAUUAAGCAAGUAGUAAAACAGAUUCUCAAGCAGCCACUUUCACACAUAAAACUCACACUCAGGACUUAGGCUGUAGAUAGACAAGUGACAGGUUCUAUAUAAAAGGGGACAUGUGGGCAUACUAUAUACCUGUCUGACGUUAACCACAGGAAGCCGAGUGAAGGCCCAGAGUGCAGACCAAUUCCAAAGAAUGGAAAAUAUAGGUAAGUUACUUAUUUACCAUAUGCAGAGGUGAUCAGGCUCUUUUUUUUUUCCAAUCUCUGGGGGUCUCCUCUCCGGUCCUGGGAUUUUACGGCUUCGAGCAGAAUAACAACAACCCUCACAUCCCGGACGAGCCCCCAAAUUGUUUUAGAAUCAAAGAAAACUUUGAUAAUUUGUCUAUCUACACCUUCCAAAUUGAUUGAUUAAUGCGUGCACGCUUUCCCUAGAAGUAAUUCACACCGGAGACAAAGUUUCUGAUCAGUGAAAAACUCAGGAAUGCUUUAUUCCCCGGAGUGGGGGCUCCUUCUUAAAGCAAAAAUACGUCACAGUUUAAACAUACAGUAUACAUUCACCAAUUGGUUAACAGAGAAAGGGGCCUCUUGUUUAAACCCCCCUACAGGAUGUAGUGUCA